UACGGGGGGGGCAAGCGUUGUUCGGAAUUACUGGCGUAAAGGGCUCGUAGGCGGCCAACUAAGUCAUACGUGAAAUCCCUCGGCUUAACCGGGGAACUGCGUCUGAUACUGGAUGGCUUGAGUUCGGGAGAGGGAUGCGGAAUUCCGAGGUGUAGGCGGUGAAAUGCGUAGAUAUCUGGAGGAACACCGGUGGCGAAGGCGGCAUCCUGGACCGAGUACUGAACGCU
rnacentral:rRNA from 1 species